AUUUAAAUAGCUUAAUUAGAGCAUAAUAUUGAAGAUAUUAAGGUAAUUUUAAAUUUUUAAAUA
rnacentral:tRNA from 1 species